UAUUUAUUGGAUAGAGACAGCCAUAAAUCAAGAGGGAAGGGGGUGACAGAGAGGUAGCGAGACAGAGAGACACUUGCAGACCUGCUUUACCACUUGUGAAGCUUUCUCCUGGAGGUGGGGACCAAAGGUUGGAACCAGGAUCCUCCUUCAUGGUAGCAUGAACGCUCAACCAGUUGCAUCAACCCUCGACCAGAGUUCCAGAAAUUGAGAAGUAGGCAUGCAUAUGAGAAACCUGCUAUGCUGGAAAGGAACUUCUCAAUAGAACUUUAUAUAUCAAGCCACAAGGUUCCAGAUGCUGACCAGACUUCUCUGGACAGACGACCCCAUCAAUGUGUACUGGAGCGCC